GGGCGCAUAGCUCAGUUGGUAGAGCUGCUCCCUCUUAAGGAGACGGUCGCAGGUUCGAGUCCUGCUGCGCCCA
rnacentral:tRNA from 1 species